UCUCCUGUUUCAGGCUCUGGAAAUCUCUGGACUCGUUGUCAGGAAGGUGGUCCCCACUGUCUGAAACCAAAGUGAUCCUUCGAAGAUUGCAUCAACAAGAGAAACGCUGACAGUUCUGAACUUCUUAUGUAAAGAUUUUCCAACUUUCAGUUGUUUUUGUGGUGGUUUUAUGAUCUCCUUCCAAUGGGUCGACAGCCUUUGCAAGCCUGGGACUUAGGAGUAGAUUUAUGAACCAGUGACAGUGUCACUGCUCUAAUGCCACAGAAAAUACUUAAUGUUUCCUCCCCUUGAUCUCCAUCUUACUCUUUGCUGAACUGUGUGCUGGAAGUUCACAGUGCUUUGGUUUCCACCAUCCCUCUGAUGCCCUCAGGUCACUCGCCUCCAACACAGACUUUGACACUGUGCCAUCUUGGUUCUGGCUGUGUCAUUCUCGCUUUGCUUUUAGCACAUUUAAAAUGUUGGUUAAGUCCUGUAACCAAACAGUCAGGUUUUAUAAUGAAUUUACUCAUCAGUCCUCAUUCACUAUCUCACUGGAUGCCCUGGUGCUGGCUACCAUUGUCAACAAUACUUAAUUCUAAAUUCUGUCCUGUGUUAUUUCAUGCUGAGAAUAAUCGUGGUGGAACGUAUUAGGAACACCUCCAGUAAAUGGCACAUCUCCGUGUGAAUUAUUGAUAAAAGAACUCCCCAGAGCUGUAGGGACAUCAUUAAUUCUGCUUGGUGAUAGUCUUCAGAUGAAAAUGUUGGGCAGUGCUGUCAAAUACUGCAGCCCAGGCUGAAGCAUAGGAGUGUGAGUCAGCUCCCCACGUUUUUCUUUCUUCAGUGCGGAUAUCUGCAGAUGAAAUGCUCUCUCUGGCUUUUCUUAUGGCCAAAGGAGAGGAAUCGAUGCUUUGUAGGGGCAGUCAAUGGGCAGGAUGUGUGGGCCCCUGGAUGUUCCUGUUUCUUCCACUGGUUACAAGGAAAACCUCAUUUUUUUGUGCUGAAAUUCCUUCUUUUGACUUUUUGAUCCGACAGUCAGCCCAGCUUUGAUUUUCUUCUGGUAUUUAGAAUGAUGCUGUGCUGGUCUCCUGCCCCUGCUGUGGGCUCUGUGGGGUCUCAAUGAGAGCUGCUGCAUCUCAAGAAAGGCUCUUUCUUGAAUGAUUUUCCCCAUUUCUUCUCCAGCACGAGAGUUGUUGACAUCUUGCCAUGAAGGUGUUGAGAGACUUCUUGAAGUGACAGUGAAUAUUCUUUCUGUGUAUCAUCUGCUUUUUUACUAUUUAAUCACAAUAAACAUAGUGGAGCCUUCCCC
rnacentral:lncRNA from 7 species